UACAGAGACUGCAAGCGUUAUUCGGAAUCACUGGGCGUAAAGGGCGUGUAGGCGGGAGGGAAAGUCAGAUGUGAAAUCCCCAGGCUCAACCUGGGAACUGCAUUUGAAACUCCCCUUCUUGAGUACCGGAGAGGAAAGUGGAAUUCCUGGUGUAGAGGUGAAAUUCGUAGAUAUCAGGAGGAACACCAGUGGCGAAGGCGGCUUCUGGACGGUAACUGACGCUGAGACGCGAAAGCGUGGGGAGCAAACAGG
rnacentral:rRNA from 1 species